GCCAGGCAUUGUGGUGUGUGUCUGUAAUCCCAGCUACUCUGGAGGCUGAGGUGGGAGGAUCGCUGGAGCCCAGGGAGGUUGAGGCUGCAGUGAGCUGUGAUCACUCCAUUGCACUCUAGCCUGGGCAACAGAGUGAGACCCUGCCUCAA
rnacentral:SRP_RNA from 1 species